rnacentral:rRNA from 1 species
GAUGAACGCUGGCGGCGUGCCUAAUACAUGCAAGUCGAGCGAACAGACGAGGAGCUUGCUCCUUUGACGUUAGCGGCGGACGGGUGAGUAACACGUAGGUAACCUACCUAUAAGACUGGGAUAACUUCGGGAAACCGGAGCUAAUACCGGAUAAUAUUUCGAACCGCAUGGUUCGAUAGUGAAAGACGGCUUUGCUAUCACUUAUAGAUGGACCUGCGCCGUAUUAGCUAGUUGGUAAGGUAACGGCUUACCAAGGCAACGAUACGUAGCCGACCUGAUAGGGUGAUCGGCCACACUGGAACUGAGACACGGUCCAGACUCCUACGGGAGGCAGCAGUAGGGAAUCUUCCGCAGUGGGCGAAAGCCUGACGGAGCAACGCCGCGUGAGUGAUGAAGGUCUUCGGAUCGUAAAACUCUGUUAUUAGGGAAGAACAAACGUGUAAGUAACUGUGCACGUCUUGACGGUACCUAAUCAGAAAGCCACGGCUAACUACGUG